rfam:Schistosoma mattheei strain Denwood, Zambia genome assembly, scaffold: SMTD_scaffold0007082
AUCCAGCUGACGAGUCCCAAGUGGGACGAAACGGGAGUCCUGGAU